rnacentral:rRNA from 1 species
GACGAACGCUGGCGGCGUGCCUAAUACAUGCAAGUUGAGCGAUGAAGAUUGGUGCUUGCCCCAAUUUGAAGAGCAGCGAACGGGUGAGUAACGCGUGGGGAAUCUGCCUUUGAGCGGGGGACAACAUUUGGAAACGAAUGCUAAUACCGCAUAAUAACUUUAAACAUAAGUUUUAAGUUUGAAAGAUGCAAUUGCAUCACUCAAAGAUGAUCCCGCGUUGUAUUAGCUAGUUGGUGAGGUAAAGGCUCACCAAGGCGAUGAUACAUAGCCGACCUGAGAGGGUGGUCGGCCCAAUUGGGACUGAGACCCGGCCCAAACUCCUACGGGAGGCAGCCGUAGGGAAUCUUCGGCAAUGGACGAAAGUCUGACCGAGCAACGCCGCGGGAGGGAAGAAGGUUUUCGGAUCGUAAAACUCUGUUGGUAGAGAAGAACGUUGGUGAGAGUGGAAAGCUCAUCAAGUGACGGUAACUACCCAGAAAGGGACGGCUAACUACGUG